UGCAGCCUCUCUGUGAUGCAAUCUCUCCUUCUUUGCACAUACAGACUCCGUUUAGUGUUACAUAGGAAACACUGAGAACGUUUUAAACAAUCUAGAUCUACACAGUUUGGACUGCACACCCGUGGCUGGCGUGGCUCGGAGUUGUCGCUGUUCUCCUGGACGAUGCACAUAUCCAAUACCACUUGAUGCACAUCCAGGCCGACAGUAUGAAGACUGUGUGGCAGCCUUGAAUACAAAGUGAAUGAAACUAUAUCAGCCUUCACAAGCUCUGAUCAGUUGUUGUGGCUUCUACUCAUUCCUCUGAUUUUGGGAGUCAUCCUUAUCUGCUACAGCUGUCGCAAAUCACUCUGCAGGUCUAGAGGCCCUUCUGGACAAAGAGAGAAUGAGCUUGCAACACUGACCCCCAACAAGUCAGUUGACCCUUACUCGCCAAUAAGCUUUGAUGAGGCACCUAACCACAACAAACCCCUUAUCCCAGAUGGAACACUGAAUGGCAACACAGCACUGAACCUUAAUAUGUCAAUUAACCCCAACUCUCCAAAUUCCACCUCAACAGGGUACUAAACAACAAAAACAACUAAACAUCAGCACAACACAGAAUGCCAAGAAGAUACUCAUGCCACACAUGGCGCUAGGCACCAUCAAAGCCAUCAACACAACUUUAAAUGCCACCACAGCACAGAACUCCAAGAUACUCAGCCCAAUCAAAGCACUGAGCCCCAUCAAGACACUCGGCGUAACCAAAACACUGAGCCCCAUUGAGACACUCAACCUGAGCAACACCGAGCCCCAUCAGGACAAUCAACACACUCAAAACACUGAAACCCAAAGACACUCAAUGCAAUGAAGACACUUAGCCCUAUCAAGACCAUCAACCCAAUUAAAGCACUAAAUCAAGACCAUCAAGACAUUCAGGCCAAAGCAAAGUGCUGAGUCCCAUUAAGAUACUUGAGCCAAACACAACACUGAGCUGGAUCAAGUCUUCAACUCAGUCAAAACACCCACAAGUCACUCUCCCAAUUAAAGCACAGAGCCCCUCAACUGAGACACUCAACUCAAACAAGUCCCAUCAACAUACUAAACCCAAUAAAAGCACUGAAACCCAGCAAGUUACUCAAUCCAAUCAAGGCACCAAGACAGUCAAUCAAAUCAAGGCACUAAUCCCCACCAAGACACUCAACACUGAAAGAAAAAUAAACAAACACACACACACACACACACACACACACACAAAAGCUUGAAGCAUUUUUUGUGAAAAAAAUAAGAAUAAUUUUUUUAAUAGUUUUAAUGUUUGCUGUUUAAAUUAAGAGGAUUAUGUAACAGUGCAAUAUCAAAUUUGUAUCAUUCCUAGCUACAGAAGUGUCUUAUUUUUAAUAUAUAAAUAAAUGUUUCUUAAUCCAAGUGCAGAAAACAGAGAAACAAAUAUUUCUGUAAACAAAUUGAUAAAGUGCCAGAAUAAAAGCUGUGAUCUGAAAAGAA